UAACUUAGUGGCGGACGGGUGAGUAACGCGUGGGGAACCUGCCUUGCACCGGGGGAUAACACUUGGAAAUAGGUGCUAAUACCGCAUAAGCGCACAGAGCCGCAUGGCUCGGUGUGAAAAACUCCGGUGGUGCAAGAUGGACCCGCGUCUGAUUAGCUGGUUGGCGGGGUAACGGCCCACCAAGGCGACGAUCAGUAGCCGGCCUGAGAGGGUGAACGGCCACAUUGGGACUGAGACACGGCCCAAACUCCUACGGAAGGCAGCAG
rnacentral:rRNA from 1 species